AGGAUAAAACAUUCCAUGCACAAUAAAACCGUUCUACCAAGAACGCUAAAGACACUAUGUUAGAGGAACAAAAUGUAUUGAAACAGUAAACAAUUAGCAGGGAAAGUACUAAUAAUAAUCACCUUCACAAGAUGAAAGAAAGCAGAUGAGGCCCUUGACGAGAUCAACAGCACCAGAAUCCCAAGAACAGACCUAGAAGAAAACAGUUCAUAAAUCAGGACACAACCAAGCUUUCUACCCACAAGGAAACUCUUCUACCAAGAAUGCUAAAAACAGUAUAUACAACAGCACGAGCAGAAGGGAAUAGGACAGAUCUUAACCCCAAACAGAAAAAGGAUUCUAAGCACGACCGCAUUUCAUCGAACAGGUAGAAAGUAAGCGGGGAAAAAGUGGCUCACCUCUGACGAAACGUAAAUCGCACAGUUCAGACCGACGCAAG
rnacentral:lncRNA from 1 species